CGAGAUUAAAGGUAUCAAUAUAGCUGGUGCAAGCGCAUCAGUAUCUGCAUUGGAAUUUUGCUCAUUCACUUUAAAUUUAGCUGUUGGCAAUGAACUUGGUAUGGUUCGUCUAUAUAAGCUAAUGGGGAGUACAAAUGAAUCGCAUGUGUACUUUAUCAAAGAAACUGAAAAAGAAGUUCACACUUUGCACAAAGGGGAUUGGCCUCAAUGCACAGCUAUCUUUUCCUUCCUCAGUUCUCCAAUAUGCACUUUACAGUUUGCAAAUCGUGGAACCAGACUUGCUGUGGGAUUUCACUGUGGCAAGGUGGCAAUGCUUGAUAUUAGUGCAUUGUCAGUGUUAUUUCUUACCGACAGUGUAUCCAACUCUAGGUCGCCUGUCAAGUCUCUGGCUGUGAAGUCAAUUUCAGAUGCUAUUAGCUCAAUAAGUAAUCCGGAGCACAUUGAGUCCA
rnacentral:misc_RNA from 1 species